rnacentral:rRNA from 1 species
UCUUCGGACUUGGGUGGCGCACGGGUGAGUAACGCGUAAAGAACUUGCCUCUUAGACCGGGACAACAUCUGGAAACGGAUGCUAAUACCGGAUAUUAUGGUUUUUUCGCAUGGAGGAAUCAUGAAAGUUAGAUGCGCUAAGAGAGAGCUUUGCGUCCCAUUAGCUAGUUGGUGAGGUAACGGCCCACCAAGGCAAUGAUGGGUAGCCGGCCUGAGAGGGUGAACGGCCACAAGGGGACUGAGACACGGCCCUUAC